CCUACGGGAGGCAGCAGUGGGGAAUCUUGCGCAAUGGGGGAAACCCUGACGCAGCAACGCCGCGUGGGUGAUGAAGGCCUUCGGGUCGUAAAGCCCUGUCAGGUGGAAAGAACCGUGUCGGUACGAACAAUACCGACGCUUGACGGUACCACCGGAGGAAGCACCGGCUAACUCCGUGCCAGCAGCCGCGGUAAUACGGAGGGUGCAAGCGUUGUUCGGAAUUACUGGGCGUAAAGCGCGUGUAGGCGGUCAGGCAAGUCAGAUGUGAAAGCCUUUCGCUUAACGGAAGAAUUGCAUUUGAAACUACCUGGCUGGAGUUCGGGAGAGGAGAGUGGAAUUCCCGGUGUAGAGGUGAAAUUCGUAGAUAUCGGGAGGAACACCGGUGGCGAAGGCGGCUCUCUGGCCCGAUACUGACGCUGAGACGCGAAAGCGUGGGGAGCAAACAGGAUUAGAUACCCUGGUAGUCCACGCGGUAAACGAUGGGCACUAGGUGUAGGAGGUAUUGACCCCUUCUGUGCCGAAGCUAACGCAUUAAGUGCCCCGCCUGGGGAGUACGGCCGCAAGGCUAAAACUCAAAGGAAUUGACGG
rnacentral:rRNA from 1 species